UUAUAACAUCCACAAAAUAACUUUGUUAAAGUCAAAAUUGAAAUAUUUAGGUUCGUGAGAUGCAGUUCACCGGUUGGCGAAGGCAGCUGAAUAAUAAAUUAACAGGGUAUUUCAGCAGGAUUGAGAGUGGAGUGUUUGGCCAAAAGGCAGAGUACAAACCCAUGAUCGGCUUCACCGAUUAAAACGUCGAGCAAGAUUGAAAUGGACAAGAGCAAAAGGCGAGUAGGUGUUCAACGCCAUCUGCCUAUGUUGACUGGUCGCCCUCUGUCUCUUACUUGCUGCUGCCAUGAAAAGAAUUCCUAACGUUUUGGCUUGUGAAAGCCCCAGACGGAAACCACUGUUACCGGCAUUCGUAGUCCUGAUCUUUGUUGCAAACGGAGAUUCUUCCCGAGUUUCAGCUCUUCAGAUGGCAACGUGAAC